AGUGAACGCUGGCGGCGUGCCUAAUACAUGCAAGUCGAACGGAGUGGCGCACGGGUGAGUAAUAUAUAGCUAAUAUGCCCCUUGCUGGGGGACAACAGUUAGAAAUGCCUGGUAAUACUCCAUAGCAAGGGAUGAGACUAUAACGUAUCAGCUAGUCGGUGGGGUAACGACCUACCGCGGCUAUGACGCGUACCUGUGCUGGGAGGAUUAUCAGUCACAUUGGAACUGAGACACGGUCCAAACUCCUACCGUAGUCAGCAGUAGUGAAUAGUGCGCAAUGGGCGAAACCCUGACGCAGCAACGCCGCGUGGAGGAUUACACUUUUCGGAGCGUAAACUCCUUUUGUUAGGGAAGCGGUACCUAACGAAUAAGCACCGGCUAACUCCGUGCCAGCAGCCGCGGUAAUUC
rnacentral:rRNA from 1 species